rnacentral:rRNA from 1 species
UACGAAGGGGGCGAGCGUUGUUCGGAUUUACUGGGCGUAAAGGGCGCGUAGGCGGCCAUCUUUGUCAGGCGUGAAAGCCCCGGGCUCAACCUGGGAACUGCGUCUGGGACGGGGUGGCUAGAGAUCGGGAGAGGAGCGUGGAAUUCCCAGUGUAGAGGUGAAAUGUGUAGAUAUUCGGAAGAACACCAGUGGCGAAGGCAGCGAACUGGCGCUUUAUCGACGCUCAUGCACGAAAGCAUGGGGAUCAAACAGG